rnacentral:rRNA from 1 species
UACGUAGGUGGCAAGCGUUGUCCGGAUUUACUGGGCGUAAAGAGCGCGCAGGCGGUCGUUCAAGUCGCGUGUGAAAGCCCCCGGCUCAACUGGGGAGGGUCACGCGAUACUGAUCGACUCGAAGGCAGGAGAGGGUAGUGGAAUUCCCGGUGUAGUGGUGAAAUGCGUAGAUAUCGGGAGGAACACCAGUGGCGAAGGCGGGUCUCUGGGCCGAUACUGACGCUGAGGAGCGAAAGCGUGGGGAGCGAACGAGGA